rnacentral:rRNA from 1 species
UACGUAGGGGGCUAGCGUUGUCCGGAAUCAUUGGGCGUAAAGAGCGCGUAGGCGGCCCGGUAAGUCCGCUGUGAAAGUCGGGGGCUCAACCCUCGGAUGCCGGUGGAUACUGUCGGGCUCGAGUACGGAAGAGGCGAGUGGAAUUCCUGGUGUAGCGGUGAAAUGCGCAGAUAUCAGGAGGAACACCUAUUGCGAAGGCAGCUCGCUGGGACGUUACUGACGCUGAGCCGCGAAAGCGUGGGGAGCAAACAGG